CCUACGGGUGGCAGCAGUGGGGAAUAUUGCACAAUGGGGGAAACCCUGAUGCAGCGACGCCGCGUGAGUGAAGAAGUAUUUCGGUACGUAAAGCUCUAUCAGCAGGGAAGAAAAUGACGGUACCUGACUAAGAAGCCCCGGCUAACUACGUGCCAGCAGCCGCGGUAAUACGUAGGGGGCAAGCGUUAUCCGGAUUUACGGGGUGUAAAGGGAGCGUAGACGGCAGUGCAAGUCUGGAGUGAAAUCCCAUGGCUUAACCAUGGAACUGCUUUGGAAACUGUGCAGCUAGAGUGCAGGAGAGGUAAGCGGAAUUCCUAGUGUAGCGGUGAAAUGCGUAGAUAGUAGGAGGAACACCAGUGGCGAAGGCGGCUUACUGGACUGUAACUGACGUUGAGGCUCGAAAGCGUGGGGAGCAAACAGGAUUAGAUACCCCAGUAGUC
rnacentral:rRNA from 1 species